ensembl:lncRNA
UCAGUGCUCAGGGCAGAUUGGAUGUUUGGAUAUAAACAGGGUCAGGGCUCAGGGCAGAUUGGAUGUUUGGAUAUAAACAGGCUCAGGGCAGAUUGGAUGUUUGGAUAUAAACAGGGUCAGGGCUCAGGGCAGAUUGGAUGUUUGGAUAUAAACAGGCUCAGUGCUCAGGUUAGAUUGAUGUUUGGAUAUAAACAGGGUCAGGGCUCAGGGUAGAUUGGAUGUUUGGAUAUAAACGGGGUCAGGGCUCAGGGUAGAUAUUUUGAGGCUUGAUGACCAAUCUUGUUUUCAGGUCCUUCAGUAGUUGUGUGUACCCACUCCAGCAGCUGAUGCAUACCAGCCA